GUUGCACUUGCUGCUACUGAGCCUUCAAGUCUUCUCUUCGACCUGAAGUUACCGUGACUCUUCACAUUACCUCCAAAAAAACAAUAGUCUUUCUAAAGACUCCAUCUCCGCCCUCCAUUUCCACCUUUCCUUGUGGUGAGGCAAUUUUUGCCACAGAAAAAAAAUCUCAAGACUCCCAUCCUGUCUUUUGUGGUGCUGCAGACUUUUCAGGCUUGUUCCAGACCGGCUCUUCCAGAGUAGUGUCACGUGUGACACUGUGCCUGUCUUUGUCUGCACACCCUGCACUGCACUCAUAUACAACAGAACCCACUAACGCCUACCUGCAAACAUACUUACGACAAGAACUGAACACUUCCUGAGAACAUAUUUGAUUGCACAUACUAUACUCUGUACAUACUAUACUCUGUAC